GGAGGGUGCGAGCGUUAAUCGGAAUUACUGGGCGUAAAGCGCACGCAGGCGGUUUGUUAAGCUAGAUGUGAAAGCCCCGAGCUCAACUUGGGAUGGUCAUUUAGAACUGGCAGACUAGAGUCUUGGAGAGGGGAGUGGAAUUUCUAGUGUAGCGGUGAAAUGCGUAGAUAUUAGAAGGAACAUCAGUGGCGAAGGCGACUCCCUGGCCAAAGACUGACGCUCAUGUGCGAAAGUGUGGGUAGCGAACAGGAUUAGAUACCCUGGUAGUCCACACCGUAAACGCUGUCUACUAGCUGUGUGUGUCUUUAAGACGUGCGUAGCGAAGCUAACGCGCUAAGUAGACCGCCUGGGGAGUACGGCCGCAAGGUUAAAACUCAAAGGAAAUUGACGG
rnacentral:rRNA from 1 species